rnacentral:rRNA from 1 species
GACGAACGCUGGCGGCGUGCUUAACACAUGCAAGUCGAACGGUGAAGCGCCUUCCUUUUUGGUGGGUGUGGAUGAGUGGCGAACGGGUGAGUAACACGUGAGUAACCUGCCCCCUUCUUCUGGAUAACCGCAUGAAAGUGUGGCUAAUACGGGAUAUUCUGGGUCUGUCGCAUGAUGGGUCUGGGAAAGAUAUUGUUUCGGUGGGGGAUGGGCUCGCGGCCUAUCAGCUUGUUGGCGGGGUGAUGGCCUACCAAGGCGGUGACGGGUAGCCGGCCUGAGAGGGUGGACGGUCUCACUGGGACUGAGACACGGCCCAGACUCCUACGGGAGGCAGCAGUGGGGAAUAUUGCACAAUGGGCGCAAGCCUGAUGCAGCGACGCCGCGUGAGGGAUGGAGGCCUUCGGGUUGUGAACCUCUUUCGCCAGUGAAGCAGGCCUGCCUCGUUUGUGGGUGGGUUGACGGUAGCUGGAUAAGAAGCGCCGGCUAACUACGUG